CGCCGCCCGCCCCCCGGCCGCCACGGCGCACGCGCACUGCGCCCGCCGAACUGCGACGGCCGCGCCGCCCCGGCGCCCGGCGCCGCCGGACGUACUGCGCAGGCGCCGGCAGGGGGCGGAGUCUGGAGGCGAGGGCGGGGCCUGGCGCUGCUCACCUGGAGGGUGGGGCGCGCACCCGUGGGCGCCAGGUGCGCGCUGGGGAGCCGCGGGCGGUGCGCAGGCCCGGGCUCCCUUAGGGGCGCAGCGAGGUCAGGAAAGGCGAACGGCGAGCCGCGGGCGUCAGCGCGCCGGCGUUGGCACUUGCACAGGAGGACGGGUUUCAGGAAGUAUCCUGCCUCUUUGUCCUGGGACGUUACAUCCGCUGUCUCGGGGCCUCGCUAGCUGCGGAGAUGAAUGGGGCUGGGUCACGUGGCCGUGCACAGCGCAGGUGCGCUCUCGACCCUGCAGAGCGGCAGCUUCUUCGGGCUGCAGGACGCGAGCCCUUUAAAAAUAUGGAUGGUCUCCCCAAGCUCCCUCGAAGACACACCGCCUUGCUGCACGCCGCACUGCGCAGCAGCCGGGAAGCUCGGCUCGGUCGGCAGCAGAGUCCAGGGCCGCCUGCGAGCACCUGCUGAGAGCACCUGCUGCAAACACCUGGCCUGGCUUAUCUGCAGCCACUGUCCUAGAAGUCACCCCGGGGUCCUCGCGAGGCUGCAAGCCAAGACUUCGCACGAUCGCACGUGAAUCCGUGCGACUUCGGUUCCAAUGCUUCUAUCCUCAAAGAUUUGGGGUCACAGGUGUACAGCACCACACCAAGUGUAUUCACUACUGGGGAUGCGUCCCAGGACAUCGUGAAUGCCAGUCUUCCAGGUCUUCUCCUGUAAGCACCCUUGUGUCUGUCCUCUGCCAUGUCUCCACUAUCCAGAUGAAAGCUCUGCUGAGAGAAGGCAGACACAAACCUCCAAAGCCACGAUAGUCAUCGAUUGUCACGACUGCAAGGAAGGAACUAUAAGGAGAGAAGAGAACAGGUUCUGCGUGCUAGGGAGAUCUCCAUCCGUUUCCGGAAAGAUGUAGAUAGUCCUCCCUUCACCAGCCUGUCAUCCCAACGCUGGAAAGUUGAUUUGGAAGAAAGUCUCUGCUACUCAGUUGAUCUUGAUCCACAUUUCCAAUCAAAGGGGGCAAAAACUGGAUCAAGAUGUAGAACUCCCAGCUUCUCCAGCACCAUGUCUGCCUGCUGCCACCAUGUUUCCCGCCAUGACAAUAAAGGACUAAACCUCUGAACUAUAAGCCAGCCCCAAUUAAAUGUUUCCCUAUAUAAGAGUCACCAUUGUCACAGUGUCUCUUCACAGCAAUAGAAACCCUAAGACACCUCCCAACAUCACUGCUGAGUAAAGAGAGCCACAGCCCUUCCACAUCCUGACCAGACAUGUCAAGGGAACCACAAGAGAUCUGGAGGCACCAUCCCCAGGAGGGGAUGCUUAGUGUGCAUGUUCAAGAAUGUCUAUGCUGUGUUCUGUGAACAUUUCACGGUGGUGGGGAAUGUUUACUGAGUGGAGAACUCUAAGAUGGACACAGUGAUAGCACGGUCAGCCAUUCCUGCCACCUCGCUGGCUUCCUGUGUCCCCUGGUAUAGGGCCACCACCCUUCAGGUUACUUUCUGCACAAGUGCACCAAUCAAUGUGUCUAAGUGUUUUCCUCAGAGACGCUGGCUCGGGAUUGGAUCAUCCUCCCCACUUCUCUCACCUGUAUUGGACGGCACUGAUCCCAUCAGUUAUGCCAGUGUUGGUUUGUUUGCUUUUCUAUUUCCUGGGCCUUCACCCCAUGAUAAAGGCCAAAGGGCAGGGAUCAAAUCUAUUUCAAUGCCAGGCUACUCCCUAGACAGUAGUUGGGAAUCAACCCUAUUUGUCACAGAGGACUGUGGGAAUUCCUGGGAAUACUCAGUCACCUGUGGGUGUUAGACCAUAGAACCUCUGAAAAUAGCAGGCAUUGGGGAUAGGGUGGG
ensembl:lncRNA